rnacentral:rRNA from 1 species
UACGUAGGGGGCGAGCGUUGUCCGGAAUCAUUGGGCGUAAAGAGCGUGUAGGCGGCUUGGCAAGUCUGACGUGAAAGCCCGCGGCUCAACCGCGGAUUGUCGUUGGAAACUGCCUCGCUAGAGUCCGGAAGAGGAGAGUGGAAUUCCUGGUGUAGCGGUGAAAUGCGCAGAUAUCAGGAAGAACACCAAUGGCGAAGGCAGCUCUCUGGGACGGUACUGACGCUGAGACGCGAAAGCGUGGGGAGCGAACAGG